CCUACGGGAGGCUGCAGUGAUGCAUAUUGGUCAAUGGACGCAAGUCUGAACCAGCCAUUCCGCGUGCAGGAAGACUGCUCUAUGAGUUGUAAACUUCUUUUAUACAAGGAUAAAGCUUAAUACGUUUAUUCUGCUGAAAGUACUGUACGAAUAAGGAUCGGCUAGCUCCGUGCCAGCAUCCGCGGUACUCCGGAUGAUCCAAGCGUUAUCCGGAUUUAUUGGGUUUAAAGGGUGCGGAGAUGGAUUGAUAAGUCAGAUGUGAAAUGUCUGAGCUUAACUCGAGAACUGCAUCUAAUACUGUUAAUCUAGAGAGUAGAUGCGGUAGGCGGAAUGUGUGGUGUAGCGGUGAAAUGCUUAGAGAUCAUACAGAACACCGAUUGCGAAGGCAGCUUACCAAUCUAUAUCUGACGUUGAGGCACGAAAGCGUGGGGAGCAAACAGGAUUAGAUACCCUGGUAGUC
rnacentral:rRNA from 1 species